UACAGAGGGUGCAAGCGUUGUUCGGAAUUAUUGGGCGUAAAGCGCGUGUAGGCGGCUUUGCAAGUCGGGUGUGAAAGCCCUCAGCUUAACUGAGGAAGUGCGCCCGAAACUGCAGAGCUUGAGUACCGGAGAGGAUGGCGGAAUUCCCCAAGUAGAGGUGAAAUUCGUAGAUAUGGGGAGGAACACCGGUGGCGAAGGCGACACGCUGGGUCAUACCUGACGCUAAAACGCGACAGCAUGGGGAGCGAACGGG
rnacentral:rRNA from 1 species